rnacentral:lncRNA from 1 species
AAUCAACAACAAUACCAUUACCAAAACCAUAAUAUAGCUGCAUCAAAACAACAACAAAGUUUAUAUCAAUUAUUCAAUAUCUCUCUAUAUAUUAUACUCAAAACGCGAAAAAAAUAAAUAAAAAAUGAAGGGUGACCCGCAAUCGCGACAGAUAUAGGCCUGUUUGGAAGCAACGCGCAUGGAAAUCCUGGGUGGUGCUGAAGUGAGGUGGUGGUGAUUGGGAUGAAGAAGAAGGUUGUGUGAACCAGAGAAGAAGGAGGACUUGAGAGCAAAAGGGUUGACGGAGGGUCUUCGCAGGCCACCAU